AAACAUAAACGAAAUAGAUAUAAAGGUGUACGUGUAAUAUGAUAUAUAUAAU
rnacentral:guide_RNA from 1 species